ensembl:lncRNA
UGGAGACUAAAAUAUUAAGUCAGACAAUCACAAUCAUCAUUUUCUUUCUCUUGUAUCACUUUUGCCCACUAAUCACCUCCUCCACAAGCAUCACCUCCUCCCCCAUAAUCACAUCCCCCAAAAGAGUCAAGUCCUCCAAAGGAAUCACCUCCACAGUAAUCAACUCUUCCACAAGCAUAACCACCUCCCCUGGAAUCACCUCCUAUACAAUUAUCACCUCCUCCCCAGAUAUCUCUUCCAUAGGAAUCAACUAUUGUACAAAAAUCACCACCUCUCCUGGAAUCAUCUGCUUUAUAAUCAUCAUCUCCUCCCCAGAAAUCAGCUCUUCCAAAAGCAUGACCUCCUCCCCAAAAAUGAACUCUUCCACAAACAUUAUCUUCUCCCCAAGCAUCAUUUCUUCUCCCAAGACUACAAAUUCCUGAUGAAUUAUGCUUCUGACUGGUAUUAUGUGAAGUCUUAGGGCACAAAAAACAACGCAAUAAAAGACAAAAAAUAAAUGUAGCAGGAAUAGCAAUAAUCAUUAUAAUAAAAAUAGAAUCCAUGUUCUUCAGCAUGUAACCCCUUUCAAAUUCAAAGAAACAUUGAUAAAGAGAGCAUAGUCUUGUCCAGUUAUAUAAUUAGGUGCCAGUUUUUUUCUUUCUUCCAGCUGUAGUUGUUUCUCAAAGCCCUCAUCGUCACUUGUUCCUGGACUUCAUUGUUCAUAACCAGUAUGUUUCCAUUUCUUGUAAAUGCUCACAUUUCACAUUAUUCAGAGACUCUUCCUUUGGUAGAAGCAUCUGAAAAACAAAACCACAGAAAUAAUAUAGAAAUUAGAUUUAGGGAGAAAAAUUUGUAUUAAAUAUAUAAAAGUUAUUUGAGCAUAUAUCUUAAUACAUUUCUUAAAAUGCCAUUUUUCAAAUCAAACAAGAACCAACAUUUGCUUUCCAAUUUUUUGUCCAACUUAGUGUUCAAUUUACAAAGGAAAAAUGAAAUUUAGCCCCUGUCUUUCUGAGGGGAAAUCAUAAACAAAUAUAAAUGGAGAUAAAAUACAAGUAAAUUAGACACUAUUGUAAUGGGAGAAGGCAGUAGAAGCUAAGGGUGUAGUGAUAGGCAAUAUUGUGGUUGUAGAAGAAGGGAAACUAACUACUAAAGUUUUUAAGCUGCAGGUGGCAUUUGAUCUAAGGCUUAAAGGCAAACCAUAGUUUCCAAGAAAAAAAGAGUUAAGUGGGGAAUCCAUUCGAAAUACAGGGCACAAUUAGUGUUUAAGCAUAGAUUUGGGAGAUGGAAUGUCAAGUAUGAAGAUGAGCACAAAAGUCAGUAUUGCUGGAUUCCAGCGUAUAUAGAGAAUACUAAUAUGUAAUAAGCCUGGACAGGUAGGAAUGCAACUGGGGUGCAAAGAGUUUUAAAUGUCACAUUUUACUUUUUAAAUUUUUUUCUAUUUAGUGGUAUUUUAUUAUUUUUUCCAAUUACAUUCAACACUAAGAUUUUGAGCUCCAAAUUUUUCUCCUUCUUUCUCCUACCUCCAAGACAAUAAAUAAUCAUAUAUGCUAUAAAUAUACAAUCAUUAUUAAACCUAUUUCCACAUUAAUUGUGUUGUGAAAGAGGACUCAGGACAAAAAAGAAAAUCUUAAGAAAAAACAAAAGAUAAAACGAAGGUAAAAAUAAUAAACUUCAAACUGCAUUCAUUUUCCAUAGUUUUUUUUUCUCUAAAUACAGUCAGCAUUUUCCAUCACGAGUCUCUUGGAAUUGUCUAGGAUUAUUUCAUUGCUGAGAACAACUAAGUCUAUCAUAGUUGAACAUUUCACAAUAUUGCUAUUACUAUGAACAAUGUUCUUCUGCUCCUGAAGAAUUAUAAAUAUCAAAGGAUGAGGUGGCAUCAAGAUGGGAAAAUAACAGGUAAUUUUGCCUUAACUCCUUCACAUCUUCCUACACAAUGAUUUAUGAAGUGCAUGCACCAGGCUAAAUACACAUAAAGGGGGAGUUCAAUAAAGAGUUUAAACUACAGAGGGGAGAAUGAGAGCAAAUAGGAAAAAAAAAUGAACUUCAUUUUCACCUAAGUCAGCUUGAGAAGGGAAGAACAUACACAAAAUUGGUUAGAGAAAUUCAUCUUACCCAACAAGGAAGUAUCCUUACUCAACAAACAGGAGAGAUGAUUACAGGGCAGGUAUUUUGAGGAAGGCAGUGGUCAGAAACAUAGCAAGGACUAAAUUUCAUUUUUCCUUUGUAGAUUGAGGAUAGUCAGGAAGGUCAAAAAAAAUAAAGGCAGUCGAGUGUAUAAGGGAAUAGGUUACAGGAAAAUUCAAAAUAGCAAUCAUAACUUUAUGAGUGGAAUAAAUUAAUUCAUAAAAUGAAAGAGAACAGCAGAAUGGAAGAGAAAUCUGAAUCUAACAAUACACUAUUUUUACAAAAACAGUCCUGAGGCAGAAAGAUAGAGUUAAAAUAAAAGCCUAGAGCAGAAUCAAUUAUUCUUUAGCAAAAGAAAAAAGGGAGUAAUCAUGAUCUCAGGCAAAGCAAAUCCUGUCACCCCCCCAAAAAAAAAACACCUUAUCAAAAGAGAAAACCAGGGAAACUAUAUCUUAGUAAAAAGUACCACAUACUAAAAAUUUAUAUCAAUAUUGAACAUAUAUGUACCAAAUGACAUAACAUUCAAAUUGGAUGGGAUGGGGAGUUAAAUGAGUAAUUUAACAGUAGACAGUAAAACUGUACUAGUGGAAAACUUCAAUUUACCCUUCUCAGAUCUAGAUGAAUUUAACCAUAAAACAAAGAAGAAAAAUGUUUACGGUAAAAAUGCAAUUUUAGAAAGCAGAUAGUCCUCUGAAAGAUACAUACACAGAAUUUAAAAGGAGUAAACCUAUUAUCCAUUGUACAGGAUAUCUAGACAAAAAAUAGUACUGCAUGAGAGUAUAAAAACCUCCAAAAAUGCCCAAGAGUAUAAAUAUGAAGUACAUAUUUUCCUGACAAUAAAAAUUAUAUUCAUACAACCCUUUGAAAUAUAAUUGGAAACUAGAUAAUCCAAUGAAUGAGUAGGUGAAGGAAAUGAUAGAAAAAAAUCAAUACUUUCAAUAAGGAUAAUGCUAUCAACAAGAAAACCUUCCAGAAUUUGGGGACUACAGCCAAAGCAAGACUUAGGUAUGUUACUAAAAGCUUCCUUGACAGAGACAUAGACAAAAGGAAAGGAAGGAGAUGGAGAAAAAGAAAAGAAGAGACACAGGGAGACAGAGAGAGAGACAAACAGACAGACAGAGGGAGACAGAAGGAGAGGGAGAGGGAAAAAGAGAGAGAGAGGGAGAAGGAGAGGGAAAAAGAGAGGGAGAGGAAGAGGGAGGAAGAGAAAUUAAAUUGAUGAAUUGGCCAUAAAGCUAAAAUUAUUAUAUUAACAACAAAUUAAAAAUUCCCAGAGAUUCAGCAAGAUAGAAAACCUGGAAAUCAAAUAAG